rnacentral:rRNA from 1 species
GACAGAGGAGCCAAGCGUUGUCCGGAUUGACUGGGCGUAAAGCGCACGCAGGCGGUCGCGCGCGUGGGGUGUGAAAUCUGGCCGCUUAACGGCCAGGCGCCAUCCCAUACGGCGCGACUGGAGUGAUGCAGAGGUCGAUGGAAUUGCCGGUGUAUGUGGUGAAAGUGCGAUGAGAGAGUACGGCAGGAACACCCAGGGGGGAAACCCAG